rnacentral:lncRNA from 1 species
AAGUACAUGAGUGUAUUUAAGUGAGUGUGCCUAAGUUGUGUCUAAAGUUCCAUAUUUAUAAGGUUAUGAAACUACAAUUGGAUUGGCCUAAACUAAAACAAAACUAGGGGGAAAAAAUCUAUUACAAAGAUAUAAUAUACUCCACUGUCUUCCAACUUCUAAAUUGUCAAAUGUUUUCCAUGUCCAAUAAAUUUGUGUAGUUUUCUUCUUUUAGCUCAAUACUCCAAUCUUCAUGAUUUAAAUAUCCUCAAUGAAGCUCUAAAAGUAAGGAACAAAGAUCAAAUCAAAAGAAUAUCUACAAAAUCAUAAUCAACACAACUGAUUAGACAAUUUAUACAAAGUUGAAAAGACAAUUUUUAUACAAGAUUUAUUACAACUAUAAUUUUUUUAAGAAAAUACAAAUCUAUGCUAACAACUAGAAAUAACAAAAAUAAAAAAAUGCCAAAAAAAUGUAAUAAGCCUAUAAAAACAUGAACAAAUCAAGUGUGUUGUCAUUUACCACCAUGUUUUUAGCAUAUGUGAAUAAGUUAUCGUGAUAGUAUUGUUAGAUAGAGACUUUGAUAAAUUUUUGCAACCACACAUUGUCAAAUUGAAAAACCCCAUUGUUGAAGGUGGUGAUAUGAAAUGACAAUUAUAUAAAAUCACAAGGAUUGGGUAGAAUUUGAGGGAAACUUGUUCUAGUUACCUAGUUACCUUCUUCCAUUUUCAUGAGCAAAUCUUAUUUUAGGUGCAAAUUGGUUUAAAGCAAUUGAACCCAUGUAGUAGAUUAUGAUUCCUUGAACUUAAAUAUUUUUCAUAAUGUUCAAUUUGUUAUGUUGUAAAAAGAUGUGGAUUAUGUCCCUAAGCAAGCUCAUUCCAUUUUUGAAGUUUAUAGUAUGAAGUUGGUGGAUCACAGUGUAUAAACCUUACCAUUAAUCGAUUUACUUGUGGAUAUGGAGCCCAAGUUAGCUUUUCUACUACGUUCAUAUGCUUUGAAUUUUGCUACUCCAACUUCAUUGCCACUUCCCCAAUUCCAUGAUCAUUCUAUUCCUUUAACGAAACAAGUUACUCGUUAAGGUGAAACCAUAGCGUUAUUCUUAUAGUAAAAAAGAAGAAAUUGAGAAGUUAAUGGUACAUAUACUUCAUGAGGGAAUUACUCAAUCAAGCAAUAUGCUAAGCUAUCAACACCUUUGAUUAACUUUUUGCAUAAGGAUAAUUUUUAGUGGAAUGAAGUGGGAGCGAUGUUGAGUUAAGGAAACCAUCCCAUUGCAUAUUUCUCAAAGAAGUUAUCUAUAUGACUACAAAAAUAGUCGACAUAUAGAUAAGAAUUUUAUGCUAAUAUGGAGACGUUGACUGAGUUCAAAAGCAUCUCUGUCUCAUAUACAUAGUAGCUCAUCCGUUGUGUUCACUGCUAGCCCCAUUUUUUCAUUCAACCAUGAAAUCCCCCUAUAUUGACACAUAUUUUUCUCAACAUUCUCUUUCUUUGUUUUCUAUAUACAUAUCAUUUGUUUAAUCUCUUUCUGAAUUAACCACUGCAGUGUCUUUUUCUUAAUUUCUCUCCCAAGCCCCUUACAAUGUAUGUUAUAGUUCUCAUAAUUUGACUUCAUUUUCCUCAACUCUCUUAGAGCUUCUUUCGACAUCAAUUGCUCUAACACUUCCGUAUCACCUUCCACCCGCUUCACCACUAUUUUUUUUUCGGUAUCAUCCACAACAUCCUAACAUCUCCCAUCUCCCAUCUCUUUUCUAUUCCAGAAUACUUUGUUACAAUUUCUAACAUGCCUAAAACAAUCACAUUACUAAGGGAAUGUAAUAUUUAUUCUAACACAAUCCCCCAUGCUACUUACUAUUUGCUAGUAUUAUUUUAUGGUUCAAAUCUUGUCCUUAAAUCAUUCAAAGGAUUCGUAAUAAAAUGUACCCGUUUUGUCACAUUGGUUGCUCGAAAAAUUCUCCGCUGUAAAAGCUAAGAUCUCCACCAGAUACUUUGAUGAAUCGGUAAUUAUUACCACCACCACCACCUGUGUAAGUACGCCGGAUUGCCAUGGUAGUUUCCCUUAACACCCUUUUCUUGUAAGUAGAAUUGGGACUAACCACGAUAGUUUUGCUUUUUUUAAUAGUUGACACACUUCAAACAGACCAAAAUAGGAACACGGUAGUGUAAAAACGGCCUAAUAUUUUCAGCAACUAAUGUUUAUUUGAUGUUUGUGAUUACCUUCGUAAUAAUCUAUGAAAUGCCUGAUGAAUGUAUUACCUACUUGUGAAUUGAAAAAAUGGAAGAGGGACUGAAGAAAGAAAUUGAAUCAAAGUGUUGACUGACCAAAAUACAGAUGUGACAAGGAAGAUCAGUGAAAUCAUGUUUAGAUAUUAAUGUCAUGGGGCUUAACCCAACAAUGUGGGCUUCAAUUUGUAUACAGUAUACAUACACAUAGUAUAUAUUUUAGAAAUAAAAAUAUGCAAGCAAGUAAUAUUGAGUGAGGAUUUUCUUUUAAAUUGUUCGAACAUAGAAUGUUACUUGAGUGCAUAACCCUUCUUACUAGGUAUCUUUCACAAAGUAUUACAUCUAUUAUUCUACUGGUUUGGGAUGAAGCAGGCACAUCUACAUCCUUAUAAUGAUUUCCUCUUCCAUUCAUAACUAAUUUUGUGGGUUUUACUCAUUUCAAAUCACUUUUGGGAAACAACCAUAAUUGUCAACUCAAAAUAGCAAUGCGCAGCAACCAACCCCAAAGUCACUCUAUAGUGGGAUGGCUAUUUUAAAGACUCUGGAUUCAAGAUAAAUAAUUUACAUUUCACACAAAAGCUCAAAAAAAAAACAAAUUGAAGACAUUUACUAAAAAAAUUCAUAGUAGAGACACAAUAAUCAUCAGUUUAUGGCAUAGUUAACAAGUCAAUAACAACAAAAGUCAGGGAGCAUAAGACAGAAAAACAGUACACGUUAUCGAUUAAGCUGGGUGUCCUAGAAAAGGACUGGUUCGAUCCCAAAAUGCUUGGAUUGGACUGCUGGGAGAUGGUCACAAAAUAUGCAGGAGAAUGCUGAUGAGAACAAGGGAGAAACCAACAUUAAGUUUUGAUCUUACAUUCUAAAAAGUUAUUAGGUAACCAAAAUUGAAGAUAUGUGCCAAACACUGACAACUCAGACACGGGUGAGCCUUACCAACCAGAUUAACAGCUCCUGGUUAACACUUGAGAAACAUAGAAAUAAAGGCCAGGCCAGACUGUCAUCCCAACACUAGACCAAAUCGUAUUGAACUCUAGAUGUUUCAAAUAAUAAAUACCUUUCCAAUUUUAUUUCUGAUGUUGGCAUUCCUAGAGGCAUCAAGAAAUCUGUCCAGCAAAAUCUGCAUGUAACCAUAAAGCUUUUUCCCUAUAAUUUAUUAUCUGUUUGGUGCCAAGAAGCACCACAGAAGCUGUACAUCUGAAUCGGGAAAUGCUUGAUAUGGAAUGAAAGCUGUUGAGUUACCAUCACAUAAAACAGUGGUUGCGAUGCUUAUUAACAAUGAAAGCUGAUGGAAUUCAAAUUUAUCUUUUGCAGAACCUUUGGUGAGCCAAUUCGUACACACAAAAGGACAAUAACACUUAGAAGCUGAACUAUCUUAAAGGGUCAUUAGGAAGAGAACUUUUUUUCAAGAAGCACAUCAUCUGCAAAUAGAAGCCAAAACCAACAUAUUGGGUGGGAGUACUGCUCUGGUAGGGGGGGGUACCUAUGAUGACCAUUGUACAAGAAAUCAAUGUAGUAGCAAGUAGUCAGAAAUAGGAUGUAAAUCAAUGGCCCAUGGAAUAUGUGAGAUUAUGAGAAUUGAAAGAAUACUAAGGACAUCUCCCACUCAAGGUUCAUAAUCAGGACCUUAAGCUUAAAACCUAGGUUUUAAUAGAAACUCUGCUGGAACAUGCUAUGGCAUGAGAAGAUUUUAAAUUUUA